UACGGGGGGGGCAAGCGUUGUUCGGAAUUACUGGGCGUAAAGGGCUCGUAGGCGGCCAACUAAGUCAUACGUGAAAUCCCUCGGCUUAACCGAGGAACUGCGUCCGAUACUGAAAGGCUUGAAUCCGGGAGAGGGAUGUGGAAUUCCAGGUGUAGCGGUGAAAUGCGUAGAUAUCUGGAGGAACACCGGUGGCGAAGGCGGCAUCCUGGACCGGUAUUGACGCUGAGGCGCGAAAGCUAGGGGAGCAAACGGG
rnacentral:rRNA from 1 species